UACGUAGGGUGCAAGCGUUGUCCGGAAUUAUUGGGCGUAAAGAGCUCGUAGGUGGUUUGUCGCGUCGUCUGUGAAAUUCCGGGGCUUAACUUCGGGCGUGCAGGCGAUACGGGCAAUACUUGAGUGCUGUAGGGGAGACUGGAAUUCCUGGUGUAGCGGUGGAAUGCGCAGAUAUCAGGAGGAACACCGAUGGCGAAGGCAGGUCUCUGGGCAGUAACUGACGCUGAGGAGCGAAAGCAUGGGUAGCGAACAGGAUUAGA
rnacentral:rRNA from 1 species